AAAGAGCUAAAAGAAACUAUAAAAUAAAGCAUAGAAUCCAAGACGGCAACUGUGUAUAGUCUUUUAGGAGAUCGUCUUGGUUGUUCUAUCAAAGAAGUUAUGAAAGAUGUAUUAUCUUUGCCGCUUAUGGAGGUAGGUAGUGAUAUUCCUUGUUUUUUUGCACAAUGUUACUUGACCAAAAGCCAAAGAGAAAGAUGUACAAUACUCUCCAAAAUGCAGAAACAAAAUGAAGAUGGGUGCAGUAUCAUUUUUCACUAUGGGUGGCUAGUAUAUGGAAGCCUAUUACUUAGCAGAUGCAUGGCAUGUCUUUGUUAUUUUUCUUAUUUUACAUCAUCAAAGUUUGUUCAACUAAUUUCAUAUUUGUUUAGUUUAUACAUUAUCAAAGUUUGUUCAACUAAUUUCAUAUUUGUUUAGUUUAUACAUU
rnacentral:misc_RNA from 1 species